rnacentral:lncRNA from 1 species
AUUCAUUGAAGCUCAGGCCAUCUCAGCCAAGUACAGUCAAACACCAGUGACAAUCUUUAGUUGGAGUUAAGUGUCAAAUGCCCCAUUGACAAGCACAAGGAGACAGAGGUUAUGUCCCUAGUCUCAGACAUAAAUACUCAUCUGGGAGUUUGCACAACAAUGACAUCUGAUUUAACACCUCCUGCUAUUCAGGAUACUUUCCAGCUCAAAAAAAAUUGCUAGAAGUGGAGUUGUGUGCCCUUGAUCAAGUGACUUCCUUCUAUUUGUUGUUCUGAAAUGGGAAUUAGAAGAGCAGCUCUGACUACCUGAUAUGUUAUUUUUUCUGCAAAUCAAAUGAAAUAAUAUGUGUGAAUAUGCUUUGUAUGAGUUGCUUUGGUUAAAAAAUAGGAAAAUCAUCACAUGGUGACAAUCCCUUUCCUGAUGAGCCAAUUUGUUCUUUGCCUGAUAUCAUAUGAGAAAUCUUUCUAGUUUAAUUGAAUUUGGAAGAAUUGGAGCUCUGAUAAUAUAGUUUUUGAGAAAUGAAGGUCAACUCUAUAUGACACUGAAACACUGAAUACAUAUAUCUGCAUAGGUUUCAUGAUCUUUCUUAUCAUGGCUAUGGCAUUCCUUUGCUUAAGAUGCUUUGCUGACUUCCCAUUUAUAG